rnacentral:lncRNA from 1 species
AAAAUAUAAACUACCAAUGGCAUCAUUGACUGUGGUCAUGAUGGGGUCAAAAUGUGGCAGUGCUACACGAUACGAUGAUGCCUAUUAGUCUUAGAAACGAUGACGAGAAGACAAAAAAUGGUGGUAUGUGUGUUUGCUGUACAAUUCCAACUAAUUUGCUCUACUUUCACAUCAAUGGCGACUGAAGAGGCCUCGACUGCUUCCGCGGCCUCCGACGAAGUGGGACUACGAUGCCUCCCUCGUCUCCCGUGUCCGCGUCGUCGCUGGUGGCGUUGCUGCUGCUGACGCUUGCGCUACCGCUGCCGCUGCGCUUGCCGUUUGAAGUCGACCCACCAUUCGGCGUCUCGCCUCCUUCGCUCCAUCCCAAUUCCGCCAUCAUCUCCUGCAGCUGCGUUCGCUCAAAUCCACCGACGACGUGUUACCACCGCACGCAAAAGACGAAGCAGAGCUCCCAAGCGUAAACCUCGCUCACCUUGCAACUGAUGGAGCAGAACCUGAUUCCAGGGUCCUUCGUAGAGGGCGGGAAUAUGAAACUGCACGUCCUGCACGCGUGAUGUUCGAUGAUUUGUCCC